AUACGUAGGGGGCGAGCGUUGUCCGGAAUCACUGGGCGUAAAGGGCGUGUAGGCGGCGGUGUAAGUCUGGAGUGAAAGUCCCGCAUUCAAUGUGGGAAUUGCUUUGGAUACUGCAGUGCUAGAGUGCGGAAGAGGUAAGUGGAAUUCCCAGUGUAGCGGUGAAAUGCGUAGAGAUUGGGAGGAACACCAGUGGCGAAGGCGACUUACUGGGCCGUAACUGACGCUGAGGCGCGAAAGCGUGGGGAGCGAACAGGAUUAGAUACCCUGGUAGUCCACACUGUAAACGAUGAAUGCUAGGUGUAGGGGGUAUCGACCCCUUCUGUGCCGCAGUCAACACAAUAAGCAUUCCGACUGGGGAGUACGGCCGCAAGGUUGAAACUCAAAUGAAUUGACGGGG
rnacentral:rRNA from 1 species